rnacentral:rRNA from 1 species
AAACUUUCAACAACGGAUCUCUUGGUUCCGGCAUCGAUGAAGAACGCAGCGAAAUGCGAUAAGUAAUGUGAAUUGCAGAAUUCCGUGAAUCAUCGAAUCUUUGAACGCACAUUGCGCCCCCUGGUAUUCCGGGGGGCAUGCCUGUCCGAGCGUCAUUACAACCUUCAAGCACGGCUU